rnacentral:rRNA from 1 species
GCGCAGGGUGGAUGCCUUGGCACUAAGAGCCGAAGAAAGACGUGAUAAGCUGCGAAAAGCUGCGGGGAGAUGCAAAUAAUCCUUGAUCCGCAGAUGUCUGAAUGGGGAAACCCGGCUGGAAGGACUCCAGCCAUCCAUACGCCAAUCCAUAACGUAUGGAAGGGAACCCGGUGAACUGAAACAUCUAAGUAGCCGGAGGAAGAGAAAGAAACAUCGAUUUCCAGAGUAGCGGCGAGCGAAAUGGAAAGAGGCCAAACCGUUGUGCGUGCACAGCGGGGUUCGGACCGCAUAAUUGAUUCAGUGAUUCUAGCAGAAAGGUUUUGGGAAAGCCUGCCGGAGAGGGUGAAAGCCCCGUAAGCGAAAGGAAAACUGACAAGGCGGUAUCCAGAGUACAUCGAGACACGUGAAACCUUGAUGGAACACGCGGGGACCACCCCGUAAGCCUAAAUACUACUUAGUGACCGAUAGCGCAUAGUACUGUGAAGGAAAGGUGAAAAGGACCCCGGGAGGGGAGUGAAAGAGAACCUGAAACCCUGUGUUUACAAUCUGUGGAAGAUCUUUAUAUGAUCAACCGCGUACUUUUUGUAGAACGGUCCGGCGAGUUACGCGUACUGGCAAGGUUAAGUGCUUAAGGCACGGAGCCGAAGCGACAGCGAGUCUUAACUGGGCGAUGAGUCAGUACGAGUAGACCCGAAACCGGGUGAUCUAUCCAUGUCCAGGAUGAAGAUGCCGUAAAAGGCAUUGGAGGUCCGAAGCCACAUCCGUUGAAAAGGGUGGGCAUGAGGUGUGGAUAGGGGAGAAAUUCCAAUCGAACCCGGAGAUAGCUGGUUCUCCUCGAAAUAGCUUUAGGGCUAGCCUCGUUUUAGUCUUAUGGAGGUAGAGCACUGAAUUUCCGCGGGGGCGUCAAAGCUUACCAAAGAAUAUCAAACUCCGAAUGCCAUGUAGAUGAUGAACGGGAGUCAGACUGCACGAGAUAAGUUGGGCGGUCAAAAGGGAAAGAGCCCAGACCACCGGCUAAGGUCCCAAAGUGUGUGUUAAGUGGAAAAGGAUGUGGGAAUUCGAAGACAACUAGGAUGUUGGCUCAGAAGCAGCCAUACAUUCAAAGAGUGCGUAACAGCUCACUAGUCGAGAGUCCCUGCGCCGAAAAUGUCCGGGGCUGAAACACAACACCGAAGCCGUGGACUCCGUAAGGAGUGGUAGAGGAGCAUUCUUAAAACCGACGAAGCUGUACCGGUAAGGAGCAGUGGAGGGAUAAGAAGAGAGAAUGCCGGAAUGAGUAGCGAGAGGAAGGUGGGAAUCCUUCCGGCCGAAUAUCUAAGGUUUCCAGAGUAAAGCUGAUCUGCUCUGGGUAAGUCGGGGCCUAAGGAGAGGUCGCAAGACGUAUCCGAUGGACAACAGGUUUAGAUUCCUGUACCGCAUAUAAACAGAACUGUGGGGACGCAUGUGGAAAGCAUAAGCCGGGAAUGGAAAGACCGGUACAAGCGGGGGAGGUGUGUGACAGGCAAAUCCGUCAUAUAAGCCGAAGACGUGAUGUGGAGCGAAAUUUAGUAGUGAAGUAUGUGAGCCAUGUGCCGAGAAAAGCCGCUAUUGUUUUAUAUGUGCCCGUACCGUAAACCGACACAGGUGGAUGAGGAGAGAAUCCUAAGGCCGACGGAAGAAGCAUUGUUAAGGAAUUCGGCAAAAUGACCCCGUAACUUCGGGAGAAGGGGUGCCCACUGAAUGGUGGGCCGCAGAGAAUAGGCUCAAGCAACUGUUUAGCAAAAACACAGGUCUAUGCGAAACCGAAAGGUGAAGUAUAUGGGCUGACGCCUGCCCGGUGCUGGAAGGUUAAGAGGAGAGGUUAGCGCAAGCGAAGCUUUGAAUUUAAGCCCCAGUAAACGGCGGCCGUAACAAUAACGGUCCUAAGGUAGCGAAAUUCCUUGUCGGGUAAGUUCCGACCCGCACGAA